CACUCACUAGGGGUCAGUACUCACUCUAUAGACAGCCUCCAUCACUCACUAGGUGUCAGAACUCACUUUAUAGACAGCCUCCGUCACUCACUAGGUGUCAGAACUCACUUUAUAGACAGCCUCCGUCACUCACUAGGGGUCAGAACUCACUCUAUAGACAGCCUCCAUCACUCACUAGGUGUCAGAACUCACUUUAUAGACAGCCUCCAUCACUAGGUGUCAGUACUCACUCUAUAGACAGCCUCCAUCACUAGGUGUCAGUACUCACUCUAUAGACAGCCUCCAUCACUAGGUGUCAGUACUCACUCUAUAGACAGCCUCCAUCACUAGGGGUCAGUACUCACUCUAUAGACAGCCUCCAUCACUAGGGGUCAGUACUCACUCUAUAGACAGCCUCCAUCACUAGGGGUCAGUACUCACUCUAUAGACAGCCUCCAUCACUAGGGGUCAGUACUCACUCUAUAGACAGCCUCCAUCACUAGGGUCAGUACUCACUUUAUAGACAGCCUCCGUCACUCACUAGGGGUCAGUACCCACUCUAUAGACAGCCUCUGUUACUCACUAGGUGUCAGAACUCACUUUAUAGACAGCCUCUGUCAUUCAAUAGGGUCAGUACUCACUCUAUAGACAGCCUCCAUCACUAGGUGUCAGUACUCACUCUAUAGACAGCCUCCGUCACUCACUAGGUGUCAGAACUCACUUUAUAGACAGCCUCCGUCACUCACUAGGGGUCAGAACUCACUCUAUAGACAGCCUCCAUCACUCACUAGGUGUCAGAACUCACUUUAUAGACAGCCUCCGUCACUCACUAGGUGUCAGAACUCACUUUAUAGACAGCCUCCAUCACUAGGUGUCAGUACUCACUUUAUAGACAGCCUCCAUCACUAGGUGUCAGUACUCACUCUAUAGACAGCCUCCAUCACUAGGUGUCAGAACUCACUCUAUAGACAGCCUCCAUCACUAGGUGUCAGUACUCACUCUAUAGACAGCCUCCGUCACUCACUAGGUGUCAGAACUCACUUUAUAGACAGCCUCCGUCACUCACUAGGGGUCAGAACUCACUCUAUAGACAGCCUCCAUCACUCACUAGGUGUCAGAACUCACUUUAUAGACAGCCUCCAUCACUAGGUGUCAGUACUCACUUUAUAGACAUCCUCCAUCACUAGGUGUCAGUACUCACUCUAUAGACAGCCUCCAUCACUAGGUGUCAGAACUCACUUUAUAGACACCCUCCAUCACUAGGUGUCAGUACUCACUCUAUAGACAGCCUCCAUCACUCACUAGGUGUCAGAACUCACUUUAUAGACAGCCUCCGUCACUCACUAGGUGUCAGAACUCACUUUAUAGACAGCCUCCAUCACUAGGUGUCAGUACUCACUUUAUAGACAGCCUCCAUCACUAGGUGUCAGUACUCACUCUAUAGACAGCCUCCAUCACUAGGUGUCAG